AUUGAACGCUGGCGGCAUGCUUUACACAUGCAAGUCGAACGGUAACAGGCCGCAAGGUGCUGACGAGUGGCGAACGGGUGAGUAAUGCAUCGGAACGUGCCCAGUCGUGGGGGAUAACGCAGCGAAAGUUGCGCUAAUACCGCAUACGAUCUAUGGAUGAAAGCGGGGGACCGUAAGGCCUCGCGCGAUUGGAGCGGCCGAUGUCAGAUUAGGUAGUUGAUGGGGUAAAGGCUCACCAAGCCGACGAUCUGUAGCUGGUCUGAGAGGACGACCAGCCACACUGGGACUGAGACACGGCCCAGACUCCUACGGGAGGCAGCAGUGGGGAAUUUUGGACAAUGGGCGCAAGCCUGAUCCAGCAAUGCCGCGUGCAGGAAGAAGGCCUUCGGGUUGUAAACUGCUUUUGUACGGAACGAAACGGUCCUGGUUAAUACCCGGGGCUAAUGACGGUACCGUAAGAAUAAGCACCGGCUAACUACGUGCCAGCAGCCGCCGUAAUAC
rnacentral:rRNA from 1 species